GGGCUUCACUUCGCGGUGUUGCUCGCUGGAAGACCUGGUCUAUGUUUUACUACAAACGCUUCAGUUAUAGAAUGUUUAUCUUGCGUAUAACGCAUUUAUAUACAACUUUCAGCAACGGAUCUCUUGGCUCUCGCAUCGAUGAAGAACGCAGCGAAAUGCGAUAAGUAAUGUGAAUUGCAGAAUUCAGUGAAUCAUCGAAUCUUUGAACGCACCUUGCGCUCCCUGGUAUUCCGGGGAGCAUGCCUGUUUGAGUGUCAUGGAAUUCUCAACUUCUAAUACUUUUUUUGUAUUGGAAGCUUGGAUUUGGAGGCUUGUGCUGGCUCCCUCGUUGGAGUCGGCUCCUCUUAAAUGAAUUAGCGUGAAUCACUAUGGAUCGCUUCGGUGUGAUAAUUAUCUGCGCCGUGGUCGUGAAGUAUCGAUAAGUUCGCGCUUCUAAUCGUCCUUCACGGGACAAUUAACCCUGACUUUUUGACCUCAAAUCAGGUAGGACUACCCGCUGAACUUAAGCAUAUCAAUAA
rnacentral:rRNA from 1 species